GACGAACGCUGGCGGCGUGCUUAACACAUGCAAGUCGAACGGAAAGGCCCUGCUUUUGUGGGGUGCUCGAGUGGCGAACGGGUGAGUAACACGUGAGUAACCUGCCCUUGACUUUGGGAUAACUUCAGGAAACUGGGGCUAAUACCGGAUAGGAGCUCCUGCUGCAUGGUGGGGGUUGGAAAGUUUCGGCGGUUGGGGAUGGACUCGCGGCUUAUCGGCUUGUUGGUGGGGUAGUGGCUUACCAAGGCUUUGACGGGUAGCCGGCCUGAGAGGGUGACCGGGCACAUUGGGACUGAGAUACGGCCCAGACUCCUACGGGAGGCAGCAGUGGGGAAUAUUGCACAAUGGGCGGAAGCCUGAUGCAGCAACGCCGCGUGCGGGAUGACGGCCUUCGGGUUGUAAACCGCUUUCGCCUGUGACGAAGCGUGAGUGACGGUAAUGGGUAAAGAAGCACCGGCUAACUACGUG
rnacentral:rRNA from 1 species